UCCCGCAACGAGCGCAACCCUUAUCCUUUGUUGCCAGCGGUCCGGCCGGGAACUCAAAGGAGACUGCCAGUGAUAAACUGGAGGAAGGUGGGGAUGACGUCAAGUCAUCAUGGCCCUUACGACCAGGGCUACACACGUGCUACAAUGGCGCAUACAAAGAGAAGCGACCUCGCGAGAGCAAGCGGACCUCAUAAAGUGCGUCGUAGUCCGGAUUGGAGUCUGCAACUCGACUCCAUGAAGUCGGAAUCGCUAGUAAUCGUGGAUCAGAAUGCCACGGUGAAUACGUUCCCGGGCCUUGUACACGCCGCCCGU
rnacentral:rRNA from 1 species